CAUGUCACGUUUGGUCGCUAGAGAUAGCUUCCUUCAGUUCGGCUGGCGUGAACACAGGUGCUGCAUGGCUGUCGUCAGCUCGUGUCGUGAGAUGUUGGGUUAAGUCCCGCAACGAGCGCAACCCUCGCCUUUAGUUGCCAUCAUUCAGUUGGGCACUCUAAAGGGACUGCCGGUGAUAAGCCGCGAGGAAGGUGGGGAUGACGUCAAGUCCUCAUGGCCCUUACAGGCUGGGCUACACACGUGCUACAAUGGUGGUGACAGUGGGACGCGAAGGCGCGAGCCUGAGCAAAUCUCAAAAAGCCAUCUCAGUUCGGAUGCACUCUGCAACUCGAGUGCAUGAAGAUGGAAUCGCUAGUAAUCGUGGAUCAGCAUGCCACGGUGAAUACGUUCCCGGCCUCUGUACACACCGCCCGUCACACCAUGG
rnacentral:rRNA from 1 species